CUCAGUUUGUAACUAGCAAAGUUUUCAUAAUUUCUCAAUUCUCCACACUGUAUUAUGAACCUUUCAUAAGUUAACUACCCAUCCUCCCCUGAAAAAAUGUUGAAUUCAAGGAUACAAUACCCUCUCAGAUAUGGGCUAUCAAUGGUGUCAAGAUAUGGCUUGUGGAAUUCUGGGCGGCCAAUUUGCUUAAGGCUUGGCCUAUACAGCUCUUGAACGGCAUCCCUGACUGCAUCGAUGUUCACACUUGUGUUUUAGGUUGUCUCGCUAUGUGCUCAUCUCUACUAUGGGAUGGCUGGUACCUUUCUUCAGUCUGAAUUCAGCUUCCCUCGAUGUUGGCUUUGGGAGGUCAUGGUAAGGACUGCCCUCCUAUAUCCCUGGCACUCUUGGAUGCCAAAUCGGACUCCUCUGGCUUAGG
rnacentral:misc_RNA from 1 species